rnacentral:ncRNA from 1 species
CUGAACAACUCGCAAGGGUUGUUGAUCGCCGUGCAGGAGUCAGCAGCGGGCAUAGUAGGGCGGUGACGUCUGAAGGCC